rnacentral:misc_RNA from 1 species
GUGAAUCAUCAAAUCUUUGAACGCAAAUUGCACUCUCUGGUAUUCCGGAGAGUAUGCCUGUUUGAGGGUCAGUUUAAAUAAAAAUCGGUGUGGUUGCGGCCUUUCGUGGUGACGCAGCGGGGGUGGGUCGGCUUGCCUUCGGUUCAGUGACCUAAAAUUUUGCAUGAUUUUUCCGAACGUCUUUAAGUGAGUUUACGUACGUGU